GUCGCAGGCCGGGUGACCGCGGGCCCCUCGGGGCUCGAGGAAAGUCCGGACACCGCAGGGCAGGACGCUCCCGCGAGGGAGGCGGCGAAAGCCGACGGAAAGUGGCACAGAAAGGAGACCGCCGGCAGCGCAUCUCCGGAGACGCUGACGGUAAGGGUGAAACGGUGGGGUAAGAGCCCACCAGCGGCCGCGGCGACGCGGCCGGCUCGCCAAACCCCGUCCGGUGCAAGG
rnacentral:RNase_P_RNA from 1 species